rnacentral:rRNA from 1 species
CAGCAGCCGCGGUAAUACGAAGGGGGCUAGCGUUGUUCGGAUUUACUGGGCGUAAAGCGCACGUAGGCGGACUUUUAAGUCAGGGGUGAAAUCCCGGGGCUCAACCCCGGAACUGCCUUUGAUACUGGAAGUCUUGAGUAUGGUAGAGGUGAGUGGAAUUCCGAGUGUAGAGGUGAAAUUCGUAGAUAUUCGGAGGAACACCAGUGGCGAAGGCGGCUCACUGGACCAUUACUGACGCUGAGGUGCGAAAGCGUGGGGAGCAAACAGGAUUAGAUACCCCAGUAGUCCCUGUCUCUUAUAU